rnacentral:rRNA from 1 species
GACGAACGCUGGCGGCGUGCUUAACACAUGCAAGUCGAACGGAAAGGCCCUGCUUUUGUGGGGUGCUCGAGUGGCGAACGGGUGAGUAACACGUGAGUAACCUGCCCUUGACUUUGGGAUAACUUCAGGAAACUGGGGCUAAUACCGGAUAGGAGCUCCUGCUGCAUGGUGGGGGUUGGAAAGUUUCGGCGGUUGGGGAUGGACUCGCGGCUUAUCAGCUUGUUGGUGGGGUAGUGGCUUACCAAGGCUUUGACGGGUAGCCGGCCUGGGAGGGUGACCGGCCACAUGGGGACUGAGAUACGGCCCAGACUCCGACGGGAGGCAGCAGUGGGGAAUAUUGCACAAUGGGCGGAAGCCUGAUGCAGCAACGCCGCGUGCGGGAUGACGGCCUUCGGGUUGUAAACCGCUUUCGCCUGUGACGAAGCGUGAGUGACGGUAAUGGGUAAAGAAGCACCGGCUAACUACGUG